CACAUUGAGGAGAUCCUGAGAGCCUACCGCACCCUGGCAGUUAACUUUGGCAAAAUUGUUUUACCUAAAAAGAACCAGCGAGCCAGCCAGACUAAGCAUCACUACGAAAGGAAAUGAUAUGGUUCUAGACGUGGGUGUGCACAUUUACGGCACUCUUCAUUGUUCCAGCGAUGCUUUGGUGCCUCCAUCACAAUUCAAGAUUCUACGAAUACAACGAGGAGGAAAGUGGGAAAAUGCAUACUAAGAUCCUCAAGUGAAUGAAGGAAUUUGACCCCAAUAAUGACAACUACGUCCUAAAAAGGAUCCGGUGAGGUAACCGAGCUCCGAUGGAAAUACACUUGAGGUACUUCGUGUCGAGGGCCUUAUCCCAGAGGAAGCAUUGCGACUCUUACGUGUCAAAAGAGGCCUUUUUCGAGUACUCCUCGCACAUCGCCCUCAGAAAGGGAUUCCCCUACAUGGCACGUUUCAAUGAACGGCUGGAUACAAAACCCUAGGGCAAGGAAACGAGUGCACUGUAGAACCUAAGGUUCAUAUGGGGGACCACCGAAUCGUAGGCUUGCAUCAAGUGGACGGCGCGGUCUGGGUACUCGGUGUAGAUUGGGUGUUGGCCUUUUUUACCUUAUUUAGCGACUUCAUGCGUAAAUGCCGAGAGAUGAAGCCGCCCAGAUGUGUGUCGUUGCUAAGCGAUUCGUCGUUAUUUAACUUUCCGUUGGGUACCUCCUUUAUUUAACUUAAUAUGCAAUAUGUUAAACCCAAUUCAAGAAAACACUGCGUCAUCAAUUGCCCGUGACCCCAUGUUCUCAGUCUACCUUCUUUUGCCAUAAAAUAAGUAAACGUCUUACGCGCCAAUUAAGAAUUCUGAUAGUUACAACUU